GAGUUGAUCCUUGGCUCAGAUUGAAACGCUGGCGGCAGGCUUAACACAUGCAAGUCGAGCGGAAACGAUGGUAGCUUGCUACCAGGCGUCGAGCGGCGGACGGGUGAGUAAUACUUAGGAAUCUACCUAGUAGUGGGGGAUAGCACGGGGAAACUCGUAUUAAUACCGCAUACGACCUACGGGAGAAAGGGGGCAGUUUACUGCUCUCGCUAUUAGAUGAGCCUAAGUCGGAUUAGCUAGAUGGUGGGGUAAAGGCCUACCAUGGCGACGAUCUGUAGCUGGUCUGAGAGGAUGAUCAGCCACACCGGGACCGAGACACUUAAG
rnacentral:rRNA from 1 species